UACGAAGGACCCAAGCGUUAUCCGGAUUUAUUGGGUUUAAAGGGUGCGUAGGCGGAUUAUUAAGUCAGUGGUGAAAGCCUGCAGCUUAACUGCAGAAUUGCCAUUGAUACUGAUGAUCUUGAGUAUGAUUGAGGUGGGCGGAAUGUGUCAUGUAGCGGUGAAAUGCUUAGAUAUGACACAGAACACCGAUUGCGAAGGCAGCUCACUAAGCCAUAACUGACGCUGAUGCACGAAAGCGUGGGAAGCAAACAGG
rnacentral:rRNA from 1 species